AUACUGAGAGUUUGUACUAGUGUUGAUGUUUCUUGCUGUUGCUGUGAAUUUCUACUGUUUAGUUGCAUUAGGAGCAGCUUGUACUGGUGAGGGAUCAAGCACCGGUUCCGCGGGCGCAUGAAAAAGCUUAAGGUCCUCGUGGGAGCUUCUCGGUCAAGGGAAAACUGGGUAGCAGCAAUUGUCAACAGCACGCGAGCUAUGGUGUGACAGCACUUUUAGCAUGCUCGUGGACUGGACUUGUUGGCCUUCAGUGUUUCAGCUGUAGUUUGUUAUUAACGUUUCACCUUGAUCGUUG